rnacentral:rRNA from 1 species
UGGGGAAUAUUGGACAAUGGGCGAAAGCCUGAUCCAGCCAUGCCGCGUGUGUGAAGAAGGCCUUUUGGUUGUAAAGCACUUUAAGCGAGGAGGAGGCUACUUGGAUUAAUACUCUAGGAUAGUGGACGUUACUCGCAGAAUAAGCACCGGCUAACUCUGUGCCAGCAGCCGCGGUAAUACAGAGGGUGCGAGCGUUAAUCGGAUUUACUGGGCGUAAAGCGUGCGUAGGCGGCUUCUUAAGUCGGAUGUGAAAUCCCUGAGCUUAACUUAGGAAUUGCAUUCGAUACUGGGAAGCUAGAGGAUGGGAGAGGAUGGUAGAAUUCCAGGUGUAGCGGUGAAAUGCGUAGAGAUCUGGAGGAAUACCGAUGGCGAAGGCAGCCACCUGGCCUAAUACUGACGCUGAGGUACGAAAGCAUGGGGAGCAAACAGG